AUAAUAGAGAGAAGUCAUCAUUCGACUAAAAUGGUAUCAGAUCCGCCAUAUUGGUACGAGACUCUGACAUUCAUGAAUUUUCUGUCAGUUUUGCGUUUUUUAGAGUUCAAUUCUGGUCACAUUUACAAAAUUGCGUUCAUUUUCCCGAUUUAUAUUGGACAAUAAAAUGGUGUCAUGUGCUCUACGCAGUUGUUCCAGCAGAGACGAGGUAGAUAAAAAGAAAAUCACAGGAAUCACAUUUCAUAGGUGAGAAUGAGUAAUAAACAGAUCCGUAUUCGUAAUUCUUCCAUUUCUAUCUUGAUAAUCUGAUAGUAAGAUUUCCUAAAGACCCACUAAGACGUGUAUAUCUUGGGUGAAAUUUGUUAACCGAGGAAUCUGGCAAUCUUCGAAUUAUGAGGUGUUUUGUUCCAAACAUUUUACAGCAGAACGUUUUGAUCAUCACAAAGCUUAGUUCGUUUGCAACGAAAUGCGGUUCCCACAAUAUAUGAGGAGGAAUCAGUUCAACCACCAAAAAUAAGAAUUCUUUCUGAUAUUGUGAUUUCACACCAAACGGAGAUUAUUGACGCAGUAGUAAAUAAAUCUGCUCUACCA